UACGGAGGGUGCGAGCGUUGUCCGGAAUCACUGGGCGUAAAGGGCGCGUAGGCGGCCGCGUAAGUCACUUGUGAAAUCCCGGGGCUCAACUCCGGGGCCGCAGGUGAGACUGCGUGGCUAGAGCACGGUAGAGGCGAGUGGAAUUCCCGGUGUAGCGGUGGAAUGCGUAGAUAUCGGGAAGAACACCGGUGGCGAAGGCGGCUCGCUGGGCCGUUGCUGACGCUGAUGCGCGAAAGCGUGGGGAUCAAACAGG
rnacentral:rRNA from 1 species